UUAGAAAUGAGUGAAUGAAGACAGGGCUUGGCAAGACAGAGGUCAGGUUGCUGAAUCCACAGAAGCUCGUUGGCUAUCUUAAACAAAUCAGAUCUAGUGGGAUACUGAAGUGGUAAGAGCAUGGUGACAUCACUCAGUCAUCAAAGAUUCGAGGAUGGCAUCCAGAUGGCUCCGCGAGAUGUUCUGAGUGCCGCAGCAGGUGAAGCGCUUCUGCACAACUUUCUGAUUCAACUCUGACUGACAGUUGAGGUGAUCUGUAAGACCCCAUUG
rnacentral:sRNA from 1 species